GACGAACGCUGGCGGCGUGCUUAACACAUGCAAGUCGAACGCUGAAGACCUGGCUUUUGUUGGGUUGGAUGAGUGGCGAACGGGUGAGUAACACGUGAGUAACCUGCCCUCUUCUUUGGGAUAACGCCCGGAAACGGGUGCUAAUACUGGAUAUUCACUGAUCUUCGCAUGGGGGUUGGUGGAAAGGUUUGUUCUGGUGGGGGAUGGGCUCGCGGCCUAUCAGCUUGUUGGUGGGGUGAUGGCCUACCAAGGCUUUGACGGGUAGCCGGCCUGAGAGGGUGACCGGUCACAUUGGGACUGAGAUACGGCCCAGACUCCUACGGGAGGCAGCAGUGGGGAAUAUUGCACAAUCGGCGAAAGCCUGAUGCAGCGACGCCGCGUGAGGGAUGGAGGCCUUCGGGUUGUAAACCUCUUUCGCUCAUGGUCAAGCCGCAACUGUGGGUUGUGGUGAGGGUAGUGGGUAAAGAAGCGCCGGCUAACUACGUG
rnacentral:rRNA from 1 species